rnacentral:rRNA from 1 species
AUGGGAGAAAACAGCAGCAUGAAACUCCAGUUGCUUGACGCUAUUACAAACAAUUUUGGAGAGGAGCAUAAAGUUGGCAGUGGCACGUAUGGGGAUGUUUACAAGGUGGUGCUUGAUAAUGGGGCCUAUAUUGCUCUGAAGAAGCUUCAUCAAUUACAAGGAUUUGAUGAUAACCAAUUUCAAAGUGAAUUCCGUAACCUUGUCAAGGUCUCUCACAAAAACAUUGUACGCAUAACUGGCUACUGCCUCGAUUGUCGGAGUAAAGGCCUGUUCGUCAAUCCACCGAUCCGAGAAAUACGAGAAUCUACGCAGCGUCUCUUUCUCCACUCCCUAUUUUCAACUGAAGCUCGGGCCGCUCCGGGAGCGGAGUCGUGCGGAGCGGCGAGACUCCGAACAGGCCUUAAAUACAUGGAGCACAAGGGGGAACUUGUUUUUGCUCAAAUAAUGGAGAGAGUUUUCCGCGUCGAGUAUAUGCAUGGCGGGAGCCUCGAUAAACAUAUUGCAGAUGAAUCUUGUGAACUUGAUUGGCCCAUAUGUUACAAAAUCAUUAAAGGGACGUGCGAAGGGUUAAAUCACCUUCACACCAAGCAGGAAAAGCCCAUUUUCCAUCUGGAUUUAAAGCCUUCUAACAUAUUGCUGGAUGAGAACAUGACGCCCAAAAUUUCAGAUCUUGGUUUGUCCAUACUUGUUUCUUCGACAAAAACACACAAAACAGAGAUACUCAAAGGCACACAAGGGUACAUGCCGCCAGAAUACAGAGAUGGUGGCUUGGUAUCCAACAAGUUUGACGUGUUCAGUUUGGGCAUCAUAAUUAUAAAAACAGUGGCUGGCAAUAUGGGCUACUUCCGCUAUUCUGAAAUGUCUCCCAAAGAUUUUAUUGAGUUUGUAAGUGAAAAUUGGAUGAAGAGGUGGCAGGCAAUGCCGGGUUACUAUUCAUCACACGAAAUAGACAUCCUAACAGUGAUUACAUGUAUUGAGACUGCUUUAAGAUGUGUGGAGACCGACCAAGAAAAGAGACCCUGCAUAGAGGAUAUUGUCCAUGAACUGGAUGAACUAGAUGCUGAGAUUAAGAGAAUAAGGUUACUAGCUCCUGAUCCUAUGCAGAUUCUCUUGAGUAAUCAAGGACCUGGCAUGGAUUUUCCAAAAAUUUCUAGGCUAUGUAUGGCCCAUAACUUGGCCCAAUAUAAGCGCAUCCUGGAUUUUAAAUUCAGUUUGAUUGAAGCAAUUACAAACGGGUUUUCAGAUGAUCAGAAAAUUGGGAGUGAUUGGUAUGGAGAUGUUUAA